UCUGGAAUCCCCAAAUUACAACCCGUCUCUUCCCUCGUUCUUCCUUUCUUCGAAGCCCUAAAAUGCCAAUCCCACAAAGUUGCUGCUAAAACCCCAGAUAAUUUCUCAUUGUUUGUGGGGUGGAAAUUUGCAAAAUCUUGAAAUAAUUUCUCAAGCCCUACAAUCCCACAUAGCUCAUUGAAAUGGUCGUUGAAGGUUGAAGUUGAAGAUUUGUCCCUUGAGGCUAAAGAUUUGUUAAGGUAAACGACAACUUGAAGAUUAAUGGAUCCUCCAGUCCAUUACUAUUGUGGUAAUGAGGCUCGUGUUAUGACAUCGUGGACAAAUUUAAAUCCGGGUAGAAGGUUUAUGGGAAGCCAAAAAUACAAGAAAUAUGGAGGCUGUGGAUUCUUCCUAUGGUAUGAUGGUCCCAUGUGUGAUAGAUCAAAGCAAAUAAUACUUAGAUUGUUGAAUGUUGUGAAGAAGAAGGAAGAUGAAGCUAUGGUGAAUCGAAGAGGGGUUAAAUGCAUGUUUUGGAUGAUGAUGAUAUCAUGGACAAUCUAUUUGCUUUUUCUAGUCUUCUUGGUACAGAGAAACUGUGGUAUUUUAGAUGAAGGCUUCCCAAAGUUACUUGGAAAUUAGAAGGCUCCCAACUUGGUUUUAAUUUUGUGUUUUGUGUAAACUGUUUGAAUGGUUGAAGGCUCCAGGUUUGAAUUUUGUAUUUUGUGUAACCAUUUGAACAGAUGAGGAGUUGUGCUGAGGGUCUUGAUGGAAGGGUUAGAAUUACUGUGUAAUUUUGUAGUUAAUGAGAUGAACAAAUUAAAUUACAAAUUUGAUUUUGGGUUUUUUACACAUUGAUUUUCAA